UACAGAGGUCUCAAGCGUUGUUCGGAUUCAUUGGGCGUAAAGGGUGCGUAGGCGGCGCGGUAAGUCGGGUGUGAAAUCUCGGGGCUUAACUCCGAAACUGCAUUCGAUACUACCGUGCUUGAGGACUGGAGAGGAGACUGGAAUUUACGGUGUAGCGGUGAAAUGCGUAGAUAUCGUAAGGAAGACCAGUGGCGAAGGCGGGUCUCUGGACAGUUUCCUGACGGCUGA
rnacentral:rRNA from 1 species